rnacentral:rRNA from 1 species
GAUGAACGCUAGCGACAGGCUUAACACAUGCAAGUCGAGGGACCGGCGCACGGGUGCGUAACGCGUAUGCAACUUGCCUCACAGAGAGGGAUAACCCUUCGAAAGACGGACUAAUACCGCGUACUGUGAGAUAGGCAUGCGUCCCACGAGAUAGUUGGUGAGGUAACGGUUCACCAAGGCAACGAUGGGUAGGGGAACUGAGAGGUUGAACCCCCACACUGGUACGGGGACACGAGCCAGACUCCUACGGGAGGCAACAAUGAGGAAGAGUGAUAACUGGGCGAGAGCGUGAACCAGCCAAGUGACGUGAAGGAUGACUGUCUAUGGAUAGUAAGCUUCUUUUAUAGGGGAAUGUGUACCCAACGAAUAAGCGUCGGCUGACUCCGUGCCAGCGACCGCGGUAAUAC